GGGAAUGUGGCUAGGUGGUAGAGUGCUUGCCUAGCAUGCAGGAAGCCCAGGGUUAGAUUUCCUCAGUUCCA
rnacentral:tRNA from 1 species